AUGAGCAGAGUGAUCCAACCUUAUGCAAACUCGAUUCGUUUUUCUGCAAUGAAGAUUGGGACAUCGACUUUGGCAGUCAUCUACUUCAUGCCCUUUCUUCAUCCCUUUCUGACCAUUGCCCUCUCCUUCUCGCAAAUGUCCAAGGACCACCUAAGUCAAAGUGUUUCCGCUUUGAGAACUUCUGGACUAAAAUGCCCAGAUUCAAGGAGAUCGUACAAGGCGCUUGGAACCAAAGGGUGA
rnacentral:rRNA from 1 species